rnacentral:tRNA from 1 species
UGGGGGUUGGCUCAGUGGCAGAGUGUCUGCCUAGAGUUCAGGAGGCCUUGGAUUUCAUUCCCAG